rfam:Candidatus Roizmanbacteria bacterium RIFCSPHIGHO2_12_FTLL_41_11 rifcsphigho2_12_scaffold_8069, whole genome shotgun sequence.
GAUGGGAGAAAAUAAAGCCAAUGGAGGAUGCCUUGGCAGUUUGAGCCGAAGAAGGACGCGUGUUUAAGCGCGAAAACAACGAUGAGCCCUUCAGCAGGCGUUAUUAAUCGUUGGUUUCCGAAUGGGGGAACCCCUUCUUGAGAAAUCAAGGAGUCAGGUACCAUCUGGUACCUGAGGGAACCCAGGGAACUGAAACAUCUCAGUACCUGGUGGAAAAGAAAUCAUAUAAAAUCCUCAGUCGCAAGACAAAAGGAUGAGAUUCUGUAAGUAGCGGCGAGCGAAAGCAGAUCAGCCUAAACCCUGCCUUCGGGUGGGGAGUUGCGGAGCCACAUACGGGAGUAAUUUUGAUAGAAAAAUACCCUGGAAAGGGUAGCCAUAGAAAGUGAUAGCCUUGUAUUCCAAAUCAAAAUUACCCUAGUGGAUUUCCCAAGUACCACGAGUCACGGCAAACCUUGUGGGAAUCUGGGUCGGUCACGAUCCAAGGCUAAAUACUCAAACUGACCGAUAGUGAAUUAGUACUGCGAAGGAAAGGUGAAAAGUCCCCCGGAAGGGGAGUGAAAUAGAACCUGAAACCAUUGGCUAACAAUCAGACAGAGUCCCGCCUUUGGCGGGAUGAUGUCGUGCCUAUUGAAGAAUGAGCUAGCGAGUGUUCGAAUGCUGCAAGUUUAACCCCCAAAUAUUCGGGGGAAAGCGAAGCGAAAGCGAGUCUGAAUAGGGCGUCUAGCAGCUUUCGAACUGCCCGAAACCAGGUGAGCUAACCAUGAGCAGGAUGAAGCGCGUCGAGAGACGAGUGGAGGUCCGAACCCGUUGUCGGUGAAAUGGCAUGGGAGGACUUGUGGUUAGGGGUAAUAUGCCUAUCGAACCUGGAGAUAGCUGGUUCUCCCCGAGAUAUAUUUAGGUAUAGCCUUCCCAAGUACAGUGCGAGGUAGAGCUACUAGAUGGUUUUAGCAACCGCAAGGUUGUUAGAAUCAACUAAACUCCGAAUGCGCACCUUAAAAUUGGGAGGAGUCAGACCUAUCGGUAUAAGCUGAUAUGGUCGAGAGGGAAACAACCCAGAUUUUCGUCUAAGGUUCCAAAAUGCCUUUUAAGUGGUAAAGGCCGUUUUAUUUCCAAUACAGCAGGGAGGUUGGCUCAGAAGCAGCCAUCCUUUAAAGAGUGCGUAACAGCUCACCUGAAUAUGGGGUGCCGUCUGGUACCCCAGGAGAUAAUGCGCCAAAAAUGAACGGAGCUAAAAAGGUUACCGAAGACAGAACUCCAACUUUAUGUUGGGGGGUAGGGGAGCUUUCUUAAUGCAGUGAAGCUGUACUGUAAGGUAUGGUGGAGCGUUAAGAAGUGAGAAUGCUAGCAUAAGUAGUGUAUCUCCCGAUGAAAACUCGGGAUGCCGAAUGUUCAAGGUUUCCUCAGCAACGUCUAUCGUCUGAGGGUUAGUCGAAUCUAAGGAAGUGCCAUUUUUGGUACUACCGAUGUACAAGCAGUUAAUAUUCUGCUACCAAGAUGUAUACGUUAUUACUUUAUGAAUGACGAAAUUUGCUACUCAAAGCCUUCUAUAUGAGGGUUUAAGCUGUAAGCUGCAACGCAAGUUGCAGUAAGCUGCAAAUACAACUCCGAGCAAUCGGGGGAGUUUGAAGACGUAAGUUUCCGGGAAAAAUUUAUGAAGGAGUAUACAUUUUGUUCGUACCGAUAACCGACUCAGGUGAACUGGUCGAGAAGACUAAGGCAUACGGGUAAGGAUGGUUCAAGGAACUCGGCAAAAAAGCGAGCGUAAGUUUAUCGAUAAGCUCUGGAGGUACCACACGGUACCCCCCGCAGCAAACGUUUGUCAACCGACUGUUUAGCAAAAACACAGGUUCCUGCAAAUCUGCAUAAGAGAUGUAUAGGAGCUGAGGCCUGUCCGGUACUGGUAAGUUAAUCGUUGGGGUUGAUUAUGGCGAGCAAUCUCCAUACAAGGCUUCGACGCAAGCUCCAGUGAACGACAGCUCUAACCCUGAGAGUUCUAAGGUAGCGUAGCCCCUUGCCGGGUAAGUUCCGGCCCGCAUGAAAGGUUUAACGAGUUGACAACUGUCUUGAACCAUUGCCCGACGAAGUUGAAAUGGCUGUGAAGAU